GUGAUGGCUCCCUUCGGCAGUACAUAUACUAACAUUGGAACGAUACACAGAACAGUAGCAUGGCCCCUGCACAAGGAUGACAUGCAAAUUCAUGAGGGGUUCCAUAUUUUU
ensembl:snRNA U6 U6 spliceosomal RNA